UUUUGGGGCGGUGUUUACCGACUCUUCUUCCCUGCCUCCGCCCUGCUCUUGGCCGGAGCUUUGAGCUUCUUCUGUUUUCCAGCCAGACCCGGAAAAACGAAAAUACAGUGUGGGGAGCCCCCACCAUCCAGCGCCUGUGCCAGCUCACCUCUGGCCAUGGCGCGGCUGCUGGUGCACACAGCGGCCAAGGCCAGCUCCACAUUCUUCCCUCCCCUCCCAUUUUACCGGAGCCCGGAGCCCCGUGCGCAGAGGAAGGGCCUCAGCUACGCGGACUGCCAGAGUCGACUGGGUCCUUCCUCACCAAAAAGGGGGAGAGGAAAUUUCGUCUUGUCCCCCCCGAGGAGCCACUAGCAG
rfam:Oryctolagus cuniculus cont2.35944, whole genome shotgun sequence.